UACGUAGGGUGCGAGCGUUGUCCGGAAUUAUUGGGCGUAAAGAGCUCGUAGGCGGCUUGUCGCGUCGGAUGUGAAAGCCCGGGGCUUAACUCCGGGUCUGCAUUCGAUACGGGCAGGCUAGAGUUCGGUAGGGGAGAUCGGAAUUCCUGGUGUAGCGGUGAAAUGCGCAGAUAUCGGGAGGAACACCCGUGGCGAAGGCGGCUCUCUGGACCACAACUGACACUGAAGCACGAAAGCCGGGGGAGCAAACAGG
rnacentral:rRNA from 1 species